CUCCAUCUGAAUGCUGAUGUACUCAGUGGAGCUGAUUUUAGAAGACAAACAUGAAAGACAGUAGUGUUACUCUGUAAACACGUUCUCUGCAGGGAGAAAUACUGGACUUACUGGGAAGGAAUGAUAAGUACGUGUCUCUGGUCAACCACAGCAUCCCUCAGCUAUGUCAGUUCACGGUGUGCAUCGAUCUGAACCGAACGGCCAACAUUAGCUCUUGGGCAGCGUUUUCCUAUGACACCA
rnacentral:lncRNA from 1 species